rnacentral:rRNA from 1 species
AGGCUAUGACGCGUAACUGGUCUGAGAGGAUGAUCAGUCACAUUGGAACUGAGACACGGUCCAAACUCCUACGGGAGGCAGCAGUAGGGAAUAUUGCGCAAUGGGGGAAACCCUGACGCAGCAACGCCGCGUGGAGGAUGACACUUUUCGGAGCGUAAACUCCUUUUGUUAGGGAAGAAUAAUGACGGUACCUAACGAAUAAGCACCGGCUAACUCCGUGCCAGCAGCCGCGGUAAUACGGAGGGUGCAAGCGUUACUCGGAAUCACUGGGCGUAAAGGACGCGUAGGCGGAUUAUCAAGUCUCUUGUGAAAUCUAACGGCUUAACCGUUAAACUGCUUGGGAAACUGAUAAUCUAGAGUAAGGGAGAGGCAGAUGGAAUUCUUGGUGUAGGGGUAAAAUCCGUAGAUAUCAAGAAGAAUACCUAUUGCGAAGGCGAUCUGCUGGAACUUAACUGACGCUAAUGCGUGAAAGCGUGGGGAGCAAACAGGAUUAGAUACCCUGGUAGUCCACGCCCUAAACGAUGUAUACCGGUUGUUGCUGUGCUAGUCACGGCAGUAAUCCACCUAACGGAUUAAGUAUACCGCCUGGGGAGUACGGUCGCAAGAUUAAAACUCAAAGGAAUAGACGGGGACCCGCACAAGCGGUGGAGCAUGUGGUUUAAUUCGAAGAUACGCGAAGAACCUUACCCGGACUUGAUAUCUAACAAAUCAUCCAGAGAUGGAAGAGUGUCUGCUUGCAGAAAUGUUAAGACAGGUGCUGCACGGCUGUCGUCAGCUCGUGUCGUGAGAUGUUGGGUUAAGUCCC